UACGUAGGGUGCGAGCGUUGUCCGGAAUUAUUGGGCGUAAAGGGCUCGUAGGCGGUCUGUCGCGUCGGGGAGUGAAAACUCAGGGCUUAACCCUGAGCCUGCUUCCGAUACGGGCAGACUAGAGGUAUGCAGGGGAGAACGGAAUUCCUGGUGUAGCGGUGAAAUGCGCAGAUAUCAGGAGGAACACCGGGUGGCGAAGGCGGUUCUCUGGGCAUUACCUGACGCUGAGGAGCGAAAGUGUGGGGAGCGAACAGG
rnacentral:rRNA from 1 species